UAGUCGCGUUUACAUGUGGACGGGCAAAUACGAUUGUAAUACGGUUCGUGUGGACGCGGCUGUUUUCGAAAUCCAGAGAAAAAAAUCUCCGUUUUCGAAAAUAUCCGGAUACGUGUGGACUAGGCCUAAGUCCGGCUGCACCAGAUAAAGAAAAAAAAUCAGUUGCGGAGCUCUGGGAGUGAGAUACCACGGGAGUGGUCACAGAGGCUUAAAAAAACACAAAAAUCGCGAAUGUUGAUGUAUACACUAUCACCGCUGAACAACAAAACAUCUAAAAGUCGUUCAGGCAAGGUGGCUGAUAUAGAGAGAAAAGUUAAGUGGAUUUUAGCCUCAAGUACAAGCAGUUGAAGCAUUUUGCAGGGAAGGUGCCAAAAGCAAAAGAGAUGCACCAGCCCCAAGCACGAAAUUCAUAAUUAUGAAAAGUAAUAGACAAAAGCCAGCUUGUGCAAUUAGCUGAACAACCAGCAGAGCAAGACGAUAAGAUUGCAAGAUUGAUUUGUCAAAGUGCUGACUUAAGGAUAAAACUGACACAGAAAAAGAUAUUCUUCUUUUAGUCUCACUAAGUUUUUGUGAGUGCAGCUGAGUUCAUGAGAUAAGUAUUGACCUAGAUAAAAUAAAAUACAUAAAUCUUGUCAAACGUUUUGUCAUGUUAAGUAUCACUGAGUAUUUUUACAAGUCAUGCUGUAUUUUGACAAGACCAAAGGAUGAGUCAAAAUAUAAACAAUGAGU